UCCCUGGUGGCUCAGUGGUAAAGAAUCUGCCUACAAUGCAGGAGACAUGGGUUCUAUCCCUGGUUGGGGAA
rnacentral:tRNA from 1 species